UGGAGUGUGACUCCCAGGCGACGACGGGUAGCCGGCCUGAGAGGGCGACCGGCCACACUGGGACUGAGACACGGCCCAGACUCCUACGGGAGGCAGCAGUGGGGAAUAUUGCACAAUGGGCGAAAGCCUGAUGCAGCGACGCCGCGUGAGGGAUGACGGCCUUCGGGUUGUAAACCUCUUUCAGCAGGGAAGAAGCGAAAGUGACGGUACCUGCAGAAGAAGCGCCGGCUAACUACGUGCCAGCAGCCGCGGCCGA
rnacentral:rRNA from 1 species